GCCGGGUGCGGUGGCUCACGCCUGUAAUCCCAGCACUUUGGGAGGCUGAGGUGGGCGGAUCACCUGAGGUCGGGAGUUCAAGACCAGCCUGACCAACAUGGAGAAACCCCAUCUCUA
rnacentral:SRP_RNA from 2 species